rnacentral:rRNA from 1 species
UUUAUGGAGAGUUUGAUCCUGGCUCAGGAUGAACGCUGGCGGCGUGCCUAAUACAUGCAAGUCGAGCGAACGGACGAGAAGCUUGCUUCUCUGAUGUUAGCGGCGGACGGGUGAGUAACACGUGGAUAACCUACCUAUAAGACUGGGAUAACUUCGGGAAACCGGAGCUAAUACCGGAUAAUAUUUUGAACCGCAUGGUUCAAAAGUGAAAGACGGUCUUGCUGUCACUUAUAGAUGGAUCCGCGCUGCAUUAGCUAGUUGGUAAGGUAACGGCUUACCAAGGCAACGAUGCAUAGCCGACCUGAGAGGGUGAUCGGCCACACUGGAACUGAGACUGUCUCUUAUACACAUCUCCGAGCACACGAGACACGCU